UACAGAGGGUGCGAGCGUUGUCCGGAAUCACUGGGCGUAAAGGGCGCGUAGGCGGCCUGAUAAGUAGGGGGUGAAAUCCUGUAGCUUAACUGCAGGGCUGCCUCCUAAACUGUUGGGCUAGAGCACGGUAGAGGCAGAUGGAAUUCCCGGUGUAGCGGUGGAAUGCGUAGAGAUCGGGAAGAACAUCAGUGGCGAAGGCAGUCUGCUGGGCCGUUGCUGACGCUGAGGCGCGACAGCGUGGGGAGCAAACAGG
rnacentral:rRNA from 1 species